GGAAGGAUCAUUGCACACACAAAGUUGCAGCAAACCCUUCGAGAACUCGGAUUUGUCCCGACUCCGAGUCGGCACUCGCUGCCUGCCUCGGGGUACUCGCACGGAGCGGGGUGCCGCUCCGCUCCGCGCGAUGGCGCAAUGCAUCAACACCUGGCCCAUGACUGAGUCCCGAAUUUUAUCGGCGUUGCGACUCCGGCCAUUCCGUGGUCGGGGUCCGACCCGAUGAGUUGUACAACAAGAACAACUCUCAGCAACGGAUAUCUUGGCUCUUGCAACGAUGAAGAACGCAGCGAAAUGCGAUACGUAGUGUGAAUUGCAGAAUUCCGCGAAUCAUCGAGUCUUUGAACGCAAGUUGCGCCCGAGGCUUGUCCGAGGGCAUUCCCGUUAGAGCGUCACCGCGCCACCCACCACUUCCACCCCAAAUCGAGGGUCGGAGCUGAGUGGAACUGGCCGUCCCGAACGGAUGAAAUUAUGUUCGGGUCGGCUGAAAUGGAUGGAAUUCGGCCCCGCGGCGACACAGCCCGCGAUCAGGUGAUCCGCGCCCGCGAUUGACUUCGCGGACCGCGGUAUUUAUCAAGAGCGUGCGUGUCGCCCAGUCGGCGUUGUUCCGCAGAAAGCAGGUCUUCCCCCCCGCCGCCGCCGGGCUCGAGAGAGCUCGGCCGGUCCGGGAGGAAAAAAAAUACGUCACGCAACGGACCUCUAAUCGGGAAAGAUCACCCGCUGAGUUUAAGCAUAUCACUAAGCGGAGGAGAAGAAACUAACCAGGAUUUCCCUAGUAACGGCGAGCGAACCGGAAAGAGCCCAGCUUGAAAAUCGAGGCGCCUCGCGCCUCGAAUUGUAGUCUGGAGAAGCUCCCUCUGCGGCGCACCGGGCCCAAGUCCCCUGGAAAGGGGCGUCAGAGAGGGUGAGAACCCCGUCGAGCCCGGACUGUGCCGCUCCACGAGGAGCUGUCUGCGAGUCGGGCUGUUUGGGAAUGCAGCCCUAAGUGGGAGGUAAAUUCCUUCCAAGGCUAAAUAUGGGCAAGAGACCGAUAGCGAACAAGUACCGCGAGGGAAAGAUGAAAAGGACUUUGAAAAGAGAGUUAAAAAGUGCUUGAAAUUGCUGGGAGGGAAGCGAAUGGAAGCUGCGGGUGCGCCCCGGUUGGAUGUGGAACGGCCGUCAAAAGCUGGUCCGCCGCUCAACGCGGGGCGCUGGUCAGCGUGGGCCUUCGCGCCGGGACAAGAGCGGGACUUCGCGUCCCGUCUAUGCCGGUGCGGGGGCCGAGGAACGAAGCGCGCGCCUCUUCUGGCGUGGGGCCUGCCCCAACUGCGCGCUCGGGACGCUGGCGUAUUGAGCUCUUCAUCCGACCCGUCUUGAAACACGGACCAAGGAGUCUAACAUGUAUGCGAGCCGGUGGGCGGCAAACCCAUUGAGGCGCAAGUAACCUGACAGGUGGGACCCCGACCGCAAGGGAGGGAGCACCAUCGACCGACCGUGAUCUUCUGUGAAAGGUUUGAGUGCGAGCAUACCCGUUGGGACCCGAAAGAUGGUGAACUAUGCCUGAGCAGGGCGAAGCCAGAGGAAACUCUGGUGGAGGCUCGUAGCGAUACUGACGUGCAAAUCGUUCGUCAGACUUGGGUAUAGGGGCGAAAGACUAAUCGAACCAUCUAGUAGCUGGUUCCCUC
rnacentral:misc_RNA from 1 species